rnacentral:rRNA from 1 species
CCCAGACUCCUACGGAGGCAGCAGUGGGGAAUAUUGGACAAUGGGGGAAACCCUGAUCCAGCGACGCCGCGUGAGUGAAGAAGUAUUUCGGUACGUAAAGCUCUAUCAGCAGGAAAGAAAAUGACGGUACCUGACUAAGAAGCCCCGGCUAACUACGUGCCAGCAGCCGCGGUAAUACGUAGGGGGCAAGCGUUAUCCGGAUUUACUGGGGGUAAAGGGAGCGUAGACGGCAGCGCAAGUCUGGAGUGAAAUGCCGGGGCCCAACCCCGGAACUGCUCUGGAAACUGUGAAGCUGGAGUGCAGGAGAGGUAAGCGGAAUUCCUGGUGUAGCGGUGAAAUGCGUAGAUAUCAGGAGGAACACCGGCGGCGAAGGCGGCGUACUGGACUGUAACUGACGUUGAGGCUCGAAGGCGUGGGGAGCAAACAGGAUUAGAUACCCGCGUAGUA